UACGAGGGGUCCUAGCGUUGUUCGGAAUCAUUGGGCGUAAAGGGUGUGUAGGCGGCCAUUCAAGUCAGUUGUGAAAUCCCCGGGCUUAACCCGGGAAGUGCUUCUGAUACUGUUUGGCUUGAGUACUGGAGAGGAUAGUAGAAUUCCUGGUGUAGUGGUGAAAUACGUAGAUAUCAGGAGGAAUACCGGUGGCGAAGGCGGCUAUCUGGCCAUGUACUGACGCUGAAACACGAAAGCGUGGGGAGCAAACAGG
rnacentral:rRNA from 1 species